rnacentral:rRNA from 1 species
GACGAACGCUGGCGGUAUGCUUAACACAUGCAAGUCGAACGAGAAGUUUUUUAUUGAACCUUCGGGGGAUAUAAGAGACAGACAGUGGCGAACGGGUGAGUAACGCGUGGGCAACCUACCUAUCGGAGCGGGAUAGCCUCGAGAAAUCGGGAGUAAAACCGCAUAACACGGAUAUAUCGCAUGAUGAAUCCGUCAAAACUCCGGUGCCGAUAGAUGGGCCCGCGUCUGAUUAGCUAGUUGGUAAGGUAAGGGCUUACCAAGGCAACGAUCAGUAGCCGGUUUGAGAGGGCGAACGGCCACACUGGAACUGAGACACGGUCCAGACUCCUACGGGAGGCAGCAGUGGGGAAUAUUACGCAAUGGGGGCAACCCUGACGCAGCAAUACCGCGUGAGUGAAGAAGGUUUUCGGAUCGUAAAGCUCUGUUAUUGGGGAAGAAGCAGGACGGUACC